rnacentral:lncRNA from 1 species
CCCAUCCCAUCCCAUGGAUCCCAUCCCAUCCCAUCAUCUCAUCCCAUGGAUCCCAUUAUCCCAUGGAUCCCAUUAUCCCAUGGAUCCCAUCCCAUGGAUCCCAUCCCAUCCCAUCAUCUCAUCCCAUGGAUCCCAUUAUCCCAUGGAUCCCAUUAUCCCAUGGAUCCCAUCCUAUCCCAUCAUCUCAUCCCAUCCUAUCCCAUUAUCCCAUGGAUCCCAUUAUCCCAUUGAUCCCAUCCCAUCUCAUCCCAUGGAUCCCAUUAUCCCAUGGAUCCCAUUAUCCCAUGGAUCCCAUCCCAUCCCAUCAUCUCAUCCCAUCCUAUCCCAUUAUCUCAUGGAUCCCAUCCCAUGGAUCCCAUCCUAUCCCACGGAUCCCAUGGAUCUCAUGGAUCCCAUCCAUCCCAUCCCAUCCCAUCCCAUCCCAUCCCAUCCCAUCCCAUCCCAUCCCAUCCCAUCCCAUCCCAUCCCAUCCC